rnacentral:lncRNA from 1 species
UGUGGCAGUUGUAGUUUGACUUCGCACGGGAGCUGUCAGUGGAUCUCGAUAUAACGAAUUUGCUCGACCAAAAGUAAGCGCGCUCCUCCCCGCGGGGAUGUUUUUAGUGUGAAUAUAAAAAAUUAAAAAAAAAAAAUAUAUAUAAAAACAACAACAAAAAUUUUACUAAAUUUAUUUGUGUAUAACGGAAAUACUAGAAAACGACAAAAUAUCACAGGAUGGCGACAAAAGUGUGCGGAAAUGCGAAAAAUAUUUGUAAAAUUGAGUGCGUCUAACUGUUUGUGUGUUCGCGCUGUAUAACAGUAAAUGCUUUAACUGCCAAAUAAGAGUUGACGGAAACCAGGUGUGACAGUUGAUAUUUGAAAAUUUAAGCUUUGCAAGCACUGCAGUUUUGAUGUGAAAAUUAUGAAUAAUAAUUAAUAGUACACUUGCAUGUUCAUUGCAAGCAGUUAAAAAAAUAUUUAGAAAAAA